GUAGGUGAACCUGCGGAAGGAUCAUUACUAGAGCAAAGGAUAGACAGCGCCCGCGGAGCUCGCUCCCGGGGCUACCCUACUCCCGUAGGGUUUAGAGUCGUCGGGCCUCUCGGAGAAGCUCGGUCCUGAAUUCCACCCUUGAAUAAACUACUUUUGUUGCUUUGGCAGGCCGCUUCGGCUACCGGCUUCGGCUGGUAAGUGCCUG
rnacentral:misc_RNA from 1 species